rnacentral:lncRNA from 1 species
CGGCGAGAAUGAGAUGAUGAGCCAAUAAAGAUAGAGCAAUAUAUUUUGUAUUUUGAUAAUAAACAUAGAUUAUUUUUUUUGCGAGCAAAUAGACAUAGAUUAUUGCUCGAUGAAAAACGACAUGUUGAUAAACGAGAUAUCUAUGCAAACACGGAUUAUUUAAUAUGUUUUUUUUAUGAAAGAAGAAUUAUAUUAUAUGACAGCUGAGUAUAUCAAACACGUUACAGACACUUUGGAUUACAAU